GUCCACGCCCUAAACGAUGCAUAUUUGGUGUGGGCAGUUCAUUCUGUCCGUGCCGGAGCUAACGCGUUAAAUAUGCCGCCUGGGGAGUACAGUCGCAAGGCUGAAACUCAAAGGAAUUGACGGGUGCCCGCACAAGCGGUGGAGCAUGUGGUUCAAUUCGACGCAACGCGAAGAACCUUACCUGGGCUCGAACGGCUUCUCAACGGCGGUGGAAACACUGCUACCCCGCAAGGGGUGGAGUCGAGGUGCUGCAUGGCUGUCGU
rnacentral:rRNA from 1 species